CGGGGGACGGGCCGGCUGCGGCCUCGCGAAGCGCGGCGGGUCUCAGCGGCGAGGCCUCCCGAGGGCGCCUAAAAAUAGGUCUCCGCCCCCCUGCAGGCACGGCCGAGAGCCGGAGCGAAGUAGAGGCGGAGAGCGAGCGAGCGAGGGAGGGGCGGUGGACGGGGUCGUGUGAGGCCGCGCGGGCGGGGCCCGGCCCGGCCCGGCCCGGCAGACAAAGGAGCCGCGCGCGGCCGCGUGAGGGGCGGCUCUCCUCAGCGCUGCGCUGUCCGGAGUGCGGCUGGCGGGCGUGCCUUCCGCGCAACGUGCAGCGCAGCUUACCGCAGCACAGCGGUUCUUCCACGCGAAACGACAAGUAUGUGUGUGCAUAUAUAUCGUCAGAAGUGGGACUCCUGAAAAUCGGGGAAGAAAACCUUUUUUGGAAAUUGCGGAAAAGAAUUCUCCAUUUUCUGCGUGUUCCCCGCUCCGGAGUCGCGGCCACGUGUCACAAGCACAGUUGCACCUUGCAGUUUAGAUUCCCACUGUGAGCCCGUGUGGUUUUACUUCUUAGCCACGUUCUGUUCUCUGGACGGUGACUGUAACAGCACUGCAGCGUCUGAGGAGCGGAAGGUGGUUUUGCAGAACGUGCUGGAGAGUUGCAUAAGAUGCAAUGGUGAUUGCAUUAUUUGAAUUCCUUUGCAUACAAAGCGUGUUUACGCUACGGCUUCCGGAAGGAUAACUUUCAUCAUGAUUCUCCAUAAAUGCUACAUGGAAAGUAAAGGAAACGGGGCUUAGCAAGCUGUUUAUUUUUGAGUGAGCAUGUGCUAACCAAUGGUCCAUUUCUGGAAAAUGGUUUCUGCUAGUUGUGAUGUUUGUGGGCGCUGUGCAGCACGAGCCCGUGGUCAACAGUUCCCUGUGGGCAUGGGAGGGGCACGCUGCUGGAAGGGCUGCUCACCCCGCUUCUCUUAAAAUCCUAUUGAAAAGGAGAAAAAAAACAAGUACAUUCUGCCUGUGUGGAGGACAGCAGCAAAGUGUCUCAGAGGCACCCAUUUUUCUCCUUCAAGAUGGUGCCUCUGAAAUGGGAGAGAAAAAGACAGCCUUCCAGGUAGAUAGGUGGAGGAGGUUUAAUUAAAUCCGGAAGGCGUAGCUGCACCUGUGGGUACACAACACUCUGUAUUAGAAUAAGCUGAAUAAGCAAUAGUUCCUGAUAGCAGCCAAGAAAACUUGAAUGGUGGGUGUAUUUUAGAUGCAAGAUGCCAAUACCAUUUCAGUAAGGUCAGCCGUGCCCUGACAGCUUCCUGUGUGCUUGCCCUUUGAUUUGUAGGUUAUUCUCACAGGUACAGGCUGACCUUUUGGCCCAGACUGAAGUGAAAUGGUUGCCUUCAUGCUGGUGCCUUGGUCCCACACAAUGCUGUCUCCAGCUGCCAACAAGGAUGAGGCUGAACACUGUGCUCCUUGCAGGUGCGAUGGAGUCUGAGCAAUAGUGCAGAGCAGUGCCAUGUGCAGGUGGUAGUCCAGGUGUCCUGUAGGCGGCAGCUGCAACAGUGACAGCAGUAACGGGUGGAGUUGGAAGAGUCAAGGAGGAGAACAGCACUGCGUAUGCGGACAUGCAGAAAACAUUUGGAAGGGAAAAGAAAGCAAUCAGGAAGGAAAUUCAAUUAUCUGUGGUGAGUGGAAGGAUUUAGCAAGUCUGCCUGCUUAGAGGCGUGACCAUGCAAAUCAGAUCCUUCACUGUGACUUAUUCAUGCAAAACUUUCUUGAACCUCAUGAAGAAUUUUUCCUGGCAAACUUCUAACUGCUUGUCCAACCUCUUCAGGCUUGCGUGUGGGGUUGGUCCACAAGCAAUGAUUUUCCAUUACUGCAACAAGCAUGAAGUGAAAUAACUGUGGCCUGGCCCAGGCUGCUCAUCAGCUGCCUACACCACUGCCCGUGCUGUAUAUACAAGUGACUACUGGAAGCAUUUCAAUUCCUUCUGAAAAAUAUCCUGCAAUGUUCUUGCCUCUUGCUUAGGAGAGUGGCCCUCCCUUGCCUCAGACAGCACAAGCCUUCCACAUGGUUUGCUGGAAUAUGCUGCCUAGCUACCAAAGAGUAGCUCAGAAACUCAUUCCUAUAGCUGUUCUUGGUUGUUGUACUCCUGAGCAGUUCUGAUCCCAGGAAACAGAUUUUGCUGUCCUUCCUCUUGUCUCUGUGUGAUGCAGGUGAACAAUGACAAAGCAGUGCACCUUCCAUUCGUUGUUUGCCAAAACACAUACAGUUUUGUAAGACAUCUCUUUUCAUGCAAUUAUAAAGGAUCAGUUCUGUUUGUUUUCAGUGAUAAAAAAUUCAAAUAAAACAACAACAAUAGCGCAAAGAUUGGAAGAGGUUUUUUUUUUUC